rnacentral:rRNA from 1 species
GACGAACGCUGGCGGCGUGCUUAACACAUGCAAGUCGAACGGUAAGGCCCUUCGGGGUACACGAGUGGCGAACGGGUGAGUAACACGUGGGUGAUCUGCCCUGCACUUCGGGAUAAGCCUGGGAAACUGGGUCUAAUGCCGGAUAGGACCACUGCCUGCAUGGGUGGUGGUGGAAAGCUUUUGCGGUGUGGGAUGGGCCCGCGGCCUAUCAGCUUGUUGGUGGGGUGAUGGCCGACCAAGGCGACGACGGGUAGCCGGCCUGAGAGGGUGACCGGCCACACUGGGACUGAGAUACGGCCCAGACUCCUACGGGAGGCAGCAGUGGGGAAUAUUGCACAAUGGGCGCAAGCCUGAUGCAGCGACGCCGCGUGAGGGAUGACGGCCUUCGGGUUGUAAGCCUCUUUCAGCACCGACGAAGCGCAAGUGACGGUAGGUGCAGAAGAAGGACCGGCCAACUACGUGCCAGCAGCCGCGGUAA